GGUAUUGUUUCAAUUCCAUGAUAAGCCCCGGAAACUUAUUAUGAUGAAAAUAAAUA
rfam:Bacillus galactosidilyticus strain PL133 scaffold000131, whole genome shotgun sequence.